UACGUAGGGCGCAAGCGUUAUCCGGAAUUAUUGGGCGUAAAGAGCUCGUAGGCGGUUUGUCGCGUCUGCCGUGAAAGUCCGGGGCUCAACUCCGGAUCUGUGGUGGGUACGGGGCAGACUAGAGUGAUGUAGGGGAGACUGGAAUUCCUGGUGUAGCGGUGAAAUGCGCAGAUAUCAGGAGGAACACCGAUGGCGAAGGCAGGUCUCUGGGCAUUAACUGACGCUGAGGAGCGAAAGCAUGGGGAGCGAACAGGA
rnacentral:rRNA from 1 species